rnacentral:rRNA from 1 species
UACGUAGGGGGCAAGCGUUGUCCGGAAUCAUUGGGCGUAAAGCGCGCGUAGGCGCCCCGGUAAGUCCGCUCUGAAAGUCCAGGGCUCAACCCUGGAAAGCGGGUGGAUACUGCCGGGCUAGAAUCCGGAAGAGGCGAGUGGAAUUCCCGGUGUAGCGGUGAAAUGCGCAGAUAUCGGGAGGAACACCAAUGGCGAAGGCAGCUCGCUGGGACGUUACUGACGCUGAGACGCGAAAGCGUGGGGAGCAAACAGG